UCUUGGUCUCGCUGACUUCGGGAGCGAAGCUACAGACCUUCAGGGUUGGAGGAAUCAUUGAAUUUUCCUUCAUCUCCUCCAUGCUGCUGCCCACUUCUCACAGAAGGUGGAAGACCAGCCCUUAAAUUGGCUUAACUGCUGACUGCUCUGUGAGAGGCCUCCUGGAAGACUGGUGUCAGACUCAGGUAGGAAUCCAUCUACUGCCAUGUGCAAGAAAAGAAAA
rnacentral:lncRNA from 1 species